GACGUAGGUGGCGAACGUUAUCCGGAAUCAUUGGGCGUAAAGGGUGCGUAGGUGGCAUAAUAAGUUAUUAGUGGGAAAUCGAGGCUCAACCUCGUGGAAGCUAGUAAUACUGUUUUGCUUGAGUGCAGAAGAGGUUAACGGAACUCCAUGUGGAGCGGUAAAAUGCGUAGAUAUAUGGAAGAACAUCAAUAACGGCGAAGGCAGUUAACUAUUCUGUUACUGACAUUGAGGCACGAAAGCGUGGGGAGCAAAACGG
rnacentral:rRNA from 1 species